rnacentral:rRNA from 1 species
UAUUGCACAAUGGAGGAAACUCUGAUGCAGCGACGCCGCGUGAACGAUGAAGGCCNUCNNGUCGUNANGUUCUGUCCUUGGGGNNNNNAAUGACGGUACCCAAGGAGGAAGCCCCGGCUAACUACGUGCCAGCAGCCGCGGUAAUACGUAGGGGGCGAGCGUUGUCCGGAAUUAUUGGGCGUAAAGGGUUCGUAGGCGGUCUUUUAAGUCAGAUGUGAAAGGUCACGGCUCAACCGUGGUAAGCAUUUGAAACUGAAAGACUUGAGUUAAGGAGAGGAAAGUGGAAUUCCUAGUGUAGCGGUGAAAUGCGUAGAUAUUAGGAGGAAUACCAGUGGCGAAGGCGACUUUCUGGACUUAUACUGACGCUGAGGAACGAAAGCGUGGGGAGCAAAC